rnacentral:tRNA from 1 species
AAUAAAAUGGCUGAGUUGAAAGCGAUAAAUUGUAAAUUUAUUUACGGGAAAUUUCUCUUUUAUUA